rnacentral:tRNA from 1 species
GCACCUUUAGCUCAGUUGGUAGAGCAGCUGACUCUUAAUCAGCGGGCCGUAGGUUCGAGUCCUACAAGGUGCA